rnacentral:rRNA from 1 species
UACGGAGGGUGCAAGCGUUAAUCGGAAUUACUGGGCGUAAAGCGUGCGUAGGCGGUUCGUUAAGUCUGCUGUGAAAGCCCCGGGCUCAACCUGGGAAUGGCAGUGGAUACUGGCGAGCUAGAGUGUGAUAGAGGAUGGUGGAAUUCCCGGUGUAGCGGUGGAAAUGCGUAGAGAUCGGGAGGAACAUCAGUGGCGAAGGCGGCCAUCUGGAUCAACACUGACGCUGAGGCACGAAAGCGUGGGGAGCAAACAGG